rnacentral:misc_RNA from 1 species
AACGUAGGAUCCGAGCGUUAUCCGAAUUCACUGGGCGUAAAGCGCGUGCAGGCGGCUUGGUAAGUUGGAUGUGAAAUCUCCCGGCUCAACUGGGAGGCGCCGUUCAAGACUGCCAGGCUCGAGGGCGGUAGAGGAAGGUGGAAUUCCCGGUGUAGUGGUGAAAUGCGUAGAUAUCGGGAGGAACACCUGUGGCGAAAGCGGCCUUCUGGACCGUACCUGACGCUCAGACGCGAAAGCUAGGGGAGCAAACGGG